rnacentral:rRNA from 1 species
GAUGAACGCUAGCGGCAGGCUUAACACAUGCAAGUCGAGGGGCAGCAGGGGUAGCAAUACUCGCUGGCGACCGGCAAACGGGUGCGGAACACGUACACAAUCUACCUUUAUCUGGGGUAUAGCCCGAAGAAAUUCGGAUUAAUCCCCCAUAAGAUAUUAGAGUGGCAUCACUUCGAUAUUAAAACUCCGGUGGAUAAAGAUGAGUGUGCGUCCCAUUAGCUAGUUGGUAGGGUAACGGCCUACCAAGGCAACGAUGGGUAGCUGGUGUGAGAGCACGACCAGCCAACCGGGCACUGAGACACGGGCCCGACUCCUACGGGAGGCAGCAGUGAGGAAUAUUGGUCAAUGGACGCAAGUCUGAACCAGCCAUGCCGCGUGAAGGAUGAAGGCCUUCUGGGUUGUAAACUUCUUUUAUUGGGGAAGAAAAUUACGGUUUCUACUGUAACCGACGGUACCCAAGGAAUAAGCACCGGCUAACUCCGUGCCAGCCGCCGCCGUAACAC